rnacentral:rRNA from 1 species
AACGCGAAGAACCUUACCUGGUCUUGACAUCCUAGGAACUCCCCAGAGAUGGGGAGGUGCCCUUCGGGGAGCCUAGAGACAGGUGCUGCAUGGCUGUCGUCAGCUCGUGUCGUGAGAUGUUGGGUUAAGUCCCGCAACGAGCGCAACCCUCGCCUUUAGUUGCCAUCAUUCAGUUGGGCACUCUAAAGGGACUGCCGGUGUUAAACCGGAGGAAGGUGGGGAUGACGUCAAGUCCUCAUGGCCUUUAUGACCAGGGCUACACACGUGCUACAAUGGCCGGUACAAAGCGCUGCCAAGUCGCGAGACGGAGCCAAUCGCAAAAAACCGGUCUCAGUUCGGAUUGAAGUCUGCAACUCGACUUCAUGAAGUCGGAAUCGCUAGUAAUCGCGGAUCAGCACGCCGCGGUGAAUACGUUCCCGGGCCUUGUACACACCGCUACAGU